CUUCGAUUGCAUGACUGGCGGAUAGUGGGUGACCACAAGGGAGUGCAAUCGCUAUGUCAGCCGACCGCCUGGGCAUUCUAU
rnacentral:ncRNA from 1 species